CAAACUAGUUGGGGUCAACUAUAUAGAUCUUUUUCACUAUUCAAAUCUGUUGAACGCCAAGUCCUCCAAAACUUGUAAAUCCUUUGAUUCCACUUUCUUCCAUGUCAUUUCAGGUUUUUCCGUUCCCCUUUCUCCUUCCCCUAUUAUACGGGCAAUUGAUUCUCUACAUACCAUCUUAAUUGACCCUCUUUCAUUUUAUCUCCAAUAUGUGCUAUAUGCAAUUUUUGGCGAAUGUGGUUUGCUAAUGGUCUAAAAUUUAUUUAAGAAAAGGUACAGUUGAACCAUUGUGAUCUAAUUAAUUCCUAAGCAACAAAUAUUGUUUCCAUUAAUGGGCUCACACUCUUCAAAUUUCUGUUAAAUUUCAGAAUAGGAUUUAGCCAGUUAUAGUCCUACAGCUCCAUCAAAAUCAAAUGUGCACUUCAUUUCUCUCUCACAAAAUUUGAAACCAAGACUUGUACUGCAUUGUCACGUAUAGUGGGAGAAAGUAUAGGAAAAAGGGAAUAGAUAGCUAGUUGUAGAUGUAGAAAAAGGUAGCUGGAGAGUGGAGGGAAAAUUAGUUACAGUUCUGGCAGGAAAUUGGGUAUUAAAGGGCAGUAGAGCUCCUGUAUUCAUCAUUCUAAGAUCUUAAUCAAUGAUCCUUCUAUUCUCUCUCUAAAUUCUUUGUAAGAGUUCCAAUCCCACAUCCAAAAGUCACAAGGUUCAAUGUGUUUAUAAGAGUAAAGGCUAACUAAACUAAUUUGUUAGAUCUAACCUUUUAGAAAAUGGUUGAUCUAAGUUCAAGUAAGUCAAUUUCACUCUUUACAGACUGUAGCCUCAGCCCACUCAUUCACCUCUAUCCAUUCAAUUCAAUAUCAAUUUAAUAAUAUGGUAUCAGAGCAGGUCAAACCCAGUUCAAUUCAAAUUAAAAUCAAGUUUCAAGUUCAAAGUUUCCAGAUGUUAACGCUACAUUAAAGUCCAAGGUUUCAAGAAGAGGAUUUCAAGUUUCAAGUGUGAACCAAAAUGUCCCAAUUGCCACUUAAAGGAGAGUGUUAAGAUUUACAAUCCCACAUCUAAAAGUUACAACAUAUUCAAUGGGCUUAUAAGGGUGAAAGCUUGCUAAGCUAAACGAUUAGAUCUAAUCUUUUAGCAAUGGUUGGUCCAACCCCAAGUAAGCACAUCUCACUCUUCACAAACUCUAGCAUUGGCCUACUCAUUUACCUCUACUCGUUCUCUCUCUUCUCUAUUCUUCUUUUCUCUUCUAACUCUUUUCUGCAACUAUCAGUUAGCAUUUUUAUCUAUUGGAGUUCCACAUUAGAAAACUACAAGAAAUUAAAAGAGAAUAUAAGCAAAGGGGGGGAGCCAAGCCAAAUUGGCUUAAGCCGUUUUGGUGGAGCCAACCCCAAGCUCAACAAAAUCUUGACGACAAUCGCCAAUACUCUUCGGGUUAGAAAAUUUCACACUAUCCUAACAUUUGGUAUCAGAGCUUUACGGAGGGGAAAUUGAGUGGGUAAUUCAUUGUUGUAGAUCGCAACAAUGACUAGAUCUGUUGUAAUAGGUCCUGAGAUGGUCAAGUUGGCAGAAUUAGAGAAAAAGAUGAGAAGUUUCUCAGAUCAGAUAGAGAAAAUGCAAGAGCAAAUUAAUCAGUCAGCUAGGGAUAAUGAUGCAUUGCGAGGGGAUAUGAGAGCCUUUAUGAGCAAAUUGAGCAAGGAUAAAGGAAUAGGAGAUGUUGUUGGGGAAGUUGGUGUGGGAUCUGGUAUUAGAGAAGCCGAGGAUAGAGGACUGUUACCCACUCCUCCUGUUAAUCAGCAGUUGAAGGAUCAAGAAAGUUAUGGAAAUAGCUAUAACAAUGAAGGUAUGAAUCUCUUUUUUCCUAAAAUUGAAUUGGUUACUUUUGGGGGAAAGGAACCUAGGGUUUGGCUACGGAAAUGUGUGAAAUAUUUUGAGGUUUACAAAGUACCUAAGGACCAAAGGAUUGGAAUUGCUAGUUUGUUUUUGGUUGAUAGGGCAGAUGCUUGGUUUCAAAACUGGAAUAGAGGGGAAAACCAUUCUUGGGAGGAGUUUGAAAAGGGAAUUUGUCGUAGAUUUGGGGAACAAGGGUUGGAAGAUAUUGUGGAAGAAUUUAUGAAGAUGAGACAAGAGAGAUCUAUUGAAGAAUACUUGGAUAAGUUUGAGGAUAUUAGAAUAAGGUUGGAAAGGGUGAUGCCUAGUUUGGGAGAAGCCUAUUUCCUUUCUGGUUUCAUUGGAGGAUUAAGAGAUGACAUUAGGCCCAUGGUGAGAAUGAUGAGACCUACUAGCCUUGCCCACGCUUUUGAAAUUGCAAAAUUUCAAGAACAGCUACUUAAUUGUAGUAAGAAACCUAAUUCUUUCACCAGAACCUACCAGAACAGUACCAGAACUUCCUUUGUUCCAUCAUCAUCAUCUUUUCCUUACAAAUCUGCCCCAACUUAUCAAAAUUUUCCUUAUGCACCCAAACCACCCAAUUCUGAUCAAAAUAAUAACCUGAAACAGCCCAUCUCCACCCAAAAACCAGUACUUGCAACCAGUCAAGCUUCUGUCAACCAAACUGCUACUAGACCAAAUCCUAAUACUGCACCUAAUUCCAACAACAUUAGACAACCAAGGCCCUGCUUUAAAUGUGGAGAUAAGUACUUUCCUGGUCAUCAAUGUAAGCAACAGAAAUCUGUGAUGGCUAUUCAAUCUUGUGAAAAUAAGGAAUCUGCAUUCCAAAUGUAAGGGCAGGAAGUGGAAGAUGGGGGGAAGAAGUGUGGCAUGAUGUUAUGGAAGGGGAUGGAAGCGGAAUUGGAGAUGAAAUAACCCUUUCUGUACAUGCUAUUGAGGGCAGAGAAACAGGGAAUUACUGAUUUUAAUCGACUCUGGCAGCACUCAUGGCUUCUUAGAUGUCAAAGUAGCAAGGGAUUUGAAGGCGCCUGUGGUAGAUGGGACUGCUUUUGCAGUAACAGUAGCUGAUGGCAGAAGAAUUUCCAGCACUUGUAUCAGUCCUAAUUUUAACUGGAAAAUGCAUCAUUAUUCUUUCUGUUUUGACUUCAGGUUGCUGGAUAUGGGGAGCUUUGAUAUAAUACUUGGAGUUGAUUGGCUGAAAACUUUUAAUCCAAUUUUAUUUGACUUUGAGAGUUCCUCAGUCAGUUUCCACAGGGCUGGUACAAUGAUUACAUUACAAGGAAUCACAGAUGCUACUCCACAGCAAACACUUUUGAAUUGUAUGAACUGUGGUAAGCUAGUUCAUAAGAAGGGAGGAGACUUUCAAACCCCAUUAUUCUGUCUACAAAUUUCUCCAGUGCAGGGGUCUAAUGCUGAAAGUACUGCCAUGGCAACUAAUUCAUCCUCUACUACUUAUCCUAUGGAUUUGCAACUAUUAUUGGACAAAUUCCAUUGUAUAUUUGAGGAUCCUAAAGUGUUGCCACAUUUUAGAAGUCAUAAUCUCUCAAUUCCCUUAUUGCCAUCUGCUCUGCAUGUUAAUAUCAGGCCAUAUAGGUAUCCACACUUCCAAAAGACUGAAAUAGAGAAAUUGGUGAAAGAAAUAUUGGAGAGUGAAGUCAUACAGCCUAGUACUAGCACUUAUGCUUCUCGAGUGUUGCUUGUCAAGAAAAAGGAUGGCUCAUGGAGGUUUUGUGUUGAUUACAGAAGAUUGAAUGAUCUCACCAUUAAAGAUAAAUUUCCAAUUCCUAUUAUAGAUGAUCUUCUAGAUGAGCUUCAUGGUGCUUCAAUUUUUUCUAAGAUUGAUUUAAAAGCUGGAUACCAUCAGAUUAGGAUGACUCCUUCUGAUAUUCACAAAAUAGCUUUUAGAACACAUCAUGGGCAUUAUGAAUUUACUGUCAUGCCCUUUGGGCUAACAAAUGCCCCUGCAACAUUUCAAGCACUCAUGAACCACAUCUUCCAGCCUUAUUUGAGGAAGUUUAUAUUAGUGUUUUUUGAUGAUAUUUUGAUCUAUAGCUCAUCUUGGGAACAACAUUUACACCAUUUGAAAUUAGUCUUUCAAGUUUUGCAGCAGCAACAAUUGUUUGCAAAACUAAGUAAAUGUUCAUUUGGCAAGGCUGAAAUUGAUUAUUUAGGCCAUAUUAUAUCAGGAGAAGGGGUAGCAACAGACUCUACCAAGAUUAAAGCUGUUUUGUCUUGGCCAGUACCAACUUUAGUCAAAGAGUUGAGGAGUUUUUUUGGGAUUAACUGGGUAUUACAGAAAAUUUGUUCAACACUAUGGUAUUAUCAGUAAACCACUCACUGACAUGCUUAAGAAAGAUGCUUUUCAGUGGGGUGAGACAGCUCAAAGAGCAUUUGAUCAUCUCAGAAUAGCCAUGUCUCAAGCUCAAGUUCUAGCACUUCUAGAUUUCAAUAAACCUUUCAUUGUUGAAACUGAUGCUAGUGGGACAGGUAUGGGGGCAGUUUUACAGCAGAAUGGACAUCCUAUAGCCUUUAUCUCUAAGGCUUUUGGCCCAAGAACUAAAUCACUGUCAGUCUAUGAGAAAGGGCUGCUAGCCAUUACCUUUGCUGUCUCUAAAUGGAGACAUUACCUAGAGCAAGGGCCAUUCUUUAUUAAGACUGACCAUGAGAGUAUCAAACAUUUAUUGGAGCAAAGGUUGCACACUAAUUUGCAAUUGAAGGGUGUUUCAAAAUUAUUGGGGCUGCAAUAUAAAAUUAUAUAUAGAAAGGGGGUUGAAAAAAAAGUUGUUGAUGCCUUAUCAAGGAAACCUGCUGUGGAUGGUCAACUUUAUGCUUUACACUCUUCAUUGCAGCCUACUUGGAUGGCACAAUUGAUUCAUAGCUAUGAAGGGGAUGUCAAAGCUGCUGAAUUCAUCUCUCAUUUGUAAAUAGAUGAGCAAGGCCACCCUGGUUAUUCCUAUAAAAAUGGAUUGUUAUUCCAUAAGGAUAGGUUGUAUGUGGGCAGCAAUGGUAAUUUGAGAGAGCAUUUGUUAGUUCUUUACCAUAAUUCUCAUCUAGGUGGUCAUUCUGGAAUUAAUGCUACUUUUGUGAGGUUGAGCAGACAUUUUUACUGGCCUGGUAUGUUGAAAUCAAUGGUGGACUGGAUUAAAAGCUGUGAUACUUGUGCUCAGUGUAAAACAGAAACAUGUGCCUCUCCAGGGCUUUUACAACCUUUACCUAUUCCAACUCAGGCAUGGCAGCAUGUUACAAUGGAUUUUGUGGAGCAACUACCAAAAUCUCAAGGCAAGGAUACUAUUCUGGUGGUGAUUUGCAGAUUUACAAAGUAUGGGCACUUCAUUCCAUUACAACAUCCUUUCACAGCCUCAACUGUUGCUAAAUUGUUUUUAGAUACUAUUUUUAAGCUCCAUGGCCUUCCUGUUUCUAUUAUCACUGAUAGAGACAAGAUUUUUACAAGUUUAUUCUGGAAAGAUUUGUUUAAAAUGAUGGGGACUAAGCUUGCUUAUAGUACAGCCUAUCACCCUCAGUCAGAUGGCCAAUCUGAGAGAUUAAAUCAGAGUAUGGAAGGGUAUUUGAGGUGUCUUUGUUAUCAAGCACCUCAUUCAUGGGUUAAAUGGCUUCCUUUAGCUGAAUAGUGGUAUAACACUAGCUAUCAUAGUGCCUUGAAACUGUCUCCAUUUGAAGCUUUAUAUGGUUACAAGCCAGCUCCAUUGACUUUUCUGCCUCUUGAGAAUGCUUCAGUAGGUGCAGUGACUGAUUUUGUGCAAGAUAGACAGCAUAUGUCUCAACUUAUUAGAGAUAACUUGCUAGCAGCGCAGAAUAGAAUGAAGCAAUAUGCUAAUAAAAAGAGGUCUGAAAGAAUUUUUGAAGUGGGGGAUUGGGUGUAUCUUAAAUUACAACCCUACAAACAGAGUUCUAUAGCCUUAAGGAAAAACUUCAAGCUGGCAGCAAGGUAUUAUGGGCCUUUUCAGGUGGAAGCUAAAGUUGGUACUGUGGCUUACAAACUGAAACUACCCCCUAAUUCCACUGUACAUCCUGUGUUCCAUGUUUCGUUAUUAAAGAAAAAGGUUGGUGACAAUACUGUGAUUGUUCAAGAUCUACCUCUUUUCCAGGAUGAUACAGUGAUAGUGACUCCAGAAAAAGUUUUGCAGAUUAGAAUAAUUACCAGGCAUGAUCAGCAAGUUCUUCAAGGACUUAUCAAGUGGAUGAAUUUACCUGAAGAAGAAGCCACCUGGGAGGAUCAAACCUUUAUUCUUUCUCAAUUUCCUGAGUUUCAAUCUUCUUGGGGACAAGAAGAUACUGUUGGGGGGGGUAUUGUUACAUAUUAUAGAAGGAAGAAGAGAAAUAAUAAUGUUAGGCAGAAUAAUCUAGUAGAGAAUGUUUUGGAGGGAAAUAUUGUUGCAGAAGUUAGGGAAUAAUUGAAUCAGUUACUGUCAGUUGUGUAACUAUUGUAUAAACGGAAAGAUCCUCAUCUGUAUUCACUCAUUCCAUUAAUGAAUCAAUAGUGGCACUUCUCUCUCUCUGAUUCUACUCUCAUCUCAUCUAAAUCUAAUUCUCUUCUCAUAUACUCUCCAUUCUCCAGAAUUGUUUUGGUCUCUGCAUCCAGAGGUUGAAUUAGGGCUGAUACCUAACACAAGAGAAGACAUAAAACUGGCCAGAGAGAGCCAUAUUAUAAUAUGCUGGCAUAAACCAUUUUCUUGUUUUAUUUACGUAUAAAUAUGAGGGAGAGAGAAAGCUAUUCAAUUUCCUAUAUCUAUAAAAAGCUGGUAACACAGUAAUUAUAAGGUGUCUUAAAGAGCCAGGGGAAAAAGAAAAAAAGUGGAAGAGUUGGAUCUUACUUGCGC
rnacentral:misc_RNA from 1 species